rnacentral:lncRNA from 1 species
UGGCAAUACGUGACAGGAGAGAGAAGCUGAGCUAGAUAACUAUUAAAUUAAAUUAUACUCUUUCUUAUUAUUAUUAUUAUUAUUAUUAUUCUCUUUCUUCUUAUUCUGAUUAUUCUCUUCUUCUUCUUCUUCGACGAACCAGACUUCUCCCAACUCGUUGGCGACUUUUGAUUCUCGACGACGAUGACGAUUCUCCCUCUGGCUGAUGUCCGAAAUUGACCGGUGCUGGUGAAAUCUCUCUCUCUCGACGACGACGACGACCUGUUCUCACGGCUGCCGGUGAAAUCUCUGCUUCAAUUAAGAUCUAUCUGCAAGCUCUGGCUGUCACAAAUUUCAAGCCCUAAUUUCAUCAAAACCCACCUCAAUCGCACCGUUAACCACAAAACUCCCCCAUCACUCAUCGUUCACAGGUGGGGCACGAACUCCAGCGGCGAAGUUAUUUCUCUGAUCCACCUCGAUUCUAUCGAAAAUCCGAUCGAUCUCAAUCCACCAACUUUACCUAAAUUACCAACAGCAAGAAUAAGAACGCUGUAAUGGGUUAUUCUUAUAUUUUCAUUUUCGAUCUGGUGAUGCUGGGUUUGUGCUGUGAUUCUGUUUUGAAUUAGUUUAAUUUUGUUUGGUCUAAUCAAUUUUCUGAUUUUCGUGGCUGCCUAUUAUUAUGUGUGGAAUCACUUUGAUUUUUGCUAUGUUUCUGGUUGGCUCCUUGUUGAUGCUGGGGAGUCUUUGCCGGAGGAAGGUAGCUGUCGGAUUGUCACCGGAUUAAUAAUAAAAUAUAUUAAUUAAAUUAAAUUAAUUAGUAACAAAAUAUAUUAAUUAAAUUAAUUAGUAAUAAAUAUAUUAAUUAAAUUAAAUAAUAAUAAAAUAUAUUAAUAUAUAAUUUUUAUAAAUGUAUUUAUAUAAAAUUAAUGUGGUGGUGGAAAUAAGGGUUUACCUUUGCAAUGAUUUUCCUGUGAAAAUAUAAUCAUUUUGGC